rnacentral:rRNA from 2 species
GCUAUACAUGCAAGUCGAACGAACUCUGGUAUUGAUUGGUGCUUGCAUCAUGAUUUACAUUUGAGUGAGUGGCGAACUGGUGAGUAACACGUGGGAAACCUGCCCAGAAGCGGGGGAUAACACCUGGAAACAGAUGCUAAUACCGCAUAACAACUUGGACCGCAUGGUCCGAGUUUGAAAGAUGGCUUCGGCUAUCACUUUUGGAUGGUCCCGCGGCGUAUUAGCUAGAUGGUGGGGUAACGGCUCACCAUGGCAAUGAUACGUAGCCGACCUGAGAGGGUAAUCGGCCACAUUGGGACUGAGACACGGCCCAAACUCCUACGGGAGGCAGCAGUAGGGAAUCUUCCACAAUGGACGAAAGUCUGAUGGAGCAACGCCGCGUGAGUGAAGAAGGGUUUCGGCUCGUAAAACUCUGUUGUUAAAGAAGAACAUAUCUGAGAGUAACUGUUCAGGUAUUGACGGUAUUUAACCAGAAAGCCACGGCUAACUACGUGCCAGCAGCCGCGGUAAUACGUAGGUGGCAAGCGUUGUCCGGAUUUAUUGGGCGUAAAGCGAGCGCAGGCGGUUUUUUAAGUCUGAUGUGAAAGCCUUCGGCUCAACCGAAGAAGUGCAUCGGAAACUGGGAAACUUGAGUGCAGAAGAGGACAGUGGAACUCCAUGUGUAGCGGUGAAAUGCGUAGAUAUAUGGAAGAACACCAGUGGCGAAGGCGGCUGUCUGGUCUGUAACUGACGCUGAGGCUCGAAAGUAUGGGUAGCAAACAGGAUUAGAUACCCUGGUAGUCCAUACCGUAACGAUGAAUGCUAAGUGUUGGAGGGUUUCCGCCCUUCAGUGCUGCAGCUAACGCAUUAAGCAUUCCGCCUGGGGAGUACGGCCGCAAGGCUGAAACUCAAAGGAAUUGACGGGGGCCCGCACAAGCGGUGGAGCAUGUGGUUUAAUUCGAAGCUACGCGAAGAACCUUACCAGGUCUUGACAUACUAUGCAAAUCUAAGAGAUUAGACGUUCCCUUCGGGGACAUGGAUACAGGUGGUGCAUGGUUGUCGUCAGCUCGUGUCGUGAGAUGUUGGGUUAAGUCCCGCAACGAGCGCAACCCUUAUUAUCAGUUGCCAGCAUUAAGUUGGGCACUCUGGUGAGACUGCCGGUGACAAACCGGAGGAAGGUGGGGAUGACGUCAAAUCAUCAUGCCCCUUAUGACCUGGGCUACACACGUGCUACAAUGGAUGGUACAACGAGUUGCGAACUCGCGAGAGUAAGCUAAUCUCUUAAAGCCAUUCUCAGUUCGGAUUGUAGGCUGCAACUCGCCUACAUGAAGUCGGAAUCGCUAGUAAUCGCGGAUCAGCAUGCCGCGGUGAAUACGUUCCCGGGCCUUGUACACACCGCCCGUCACACCAUGAGAGUUUGUAACACCCAAAGUCGGUGGGGUAACCUUUUAGGAACCAGCCGCCUAAGGUGGGACAGAUGAUUAGGGUGAAGUCGUAACAAGGUUAACCGUAA